CUUUUGACCUCGGAUCAGGUAGGGAUACCCGCUGAACUUAAGCAUAUCAAUAAGCCGGAGGAA
rnacentral:rRNA from 1 species